GACGAACGCUGGCGGCGUGCUUAACACAUGCAAGUCGAGCGGUGCAGCGAACGGGUGAGUAACGCGUGAGUAACUGCCCCCCUCUCUGGGGUAACAGAUGGAAACGGCUGCUAUUACCGGAUAGUGGGGGAUGUCUCGCGUCCUCUCAGCUUUUUGGUGGGGGAGUGGCCUACCAAGGCGACGACGGGUAGCCGGCCUGCGAGGGCGACCGGCCACAUUGGGCUGAGAGACGGCCCAGACUCCUACGGGGGGCAGCAGUGGGGAAUAUGGCACAAUGGGGGAAAGCGUGAUGCAGCGACGCCGGGUGCGGGAGGACGGCCUUCGGGUUGUAAACCGCUUUCAGCCAUGACGCGGUAGUGGCAGAAGAAGCACCGGCUAACUACGUGCCAGCAGCCGCGGUAAUUC
rnacentral:rRNA from 1 species